AAUGGCUGCUAAUUAAAAGUCCACAGACAGCAAGACUUGGUGAGAAUGUGAAGAAAAAAGGAGAGUAGCAUACUGUUGGUGGGAACUGAAAGUAGCAUAGCUCUUAUACAAAACCAUUCCUCAAAAAGUUAAAAAUGGAACUACCAUACGAUCCAGCAAACCCACAUCUGGGCAUUGAUCCAAAGGAAAUAACACCACUAUCUCAAGGAGUUAUCUCCACUCCCAUGCUCUUUACUGCAUUAUUCGAAAUGCUCAAGAUAACAAAACAACCUAAGUGACCACGCUCAGUGUGGUUUGGGUGCAGAGGUGGGAGAAAGCUCCAUGAAGCAGGCGUGAGAUCUCAUGCACAGCUGGCACAAACAAACAUCUCUAGAUGAAGAGCUGUCACUGAAGACCAAACAUGGAGCAGAUGUAUUCUUAACUUCUACAUGGUCCCUGGCUUUAAUGAACAAAGGAAUGAACAAAAGAUCUGAAGUACAACUUCAGUGAACACAAAGUUCAGAAGGCUGUGAAAGGAAGCCAUGGUUCAGACAUUGGCAGGAAAGCCAAUAAGGUUCUAACCUGUGGAGAGACCCCAGAGGUUCCUCCUCUCCUUCAGGAUAACCAGAAGAGAAAGAAGUUGUCUUGAUGUGGGGAAGAAGCAAAGAAAUGAAAACUGGGGCUGGGCAUUUUUCCCUACCCCUCAAUUUGAACAGUGCCUUUUAUUUCAUUUCUGCUUCUUCCCUACUGAUUUGGCCAUCAGGUGGGUUUGUCUGGAUGAGUUCCUAAAAGUUCUACUAAACUGUUCUCCUCCAGGGUUGCCACUGUAAGGUUUGGUAGCUUAUACUUUACUUUGGAUUAAGAACAGAGCUUUUGCUUUGCACUUUCUUAGUGUCCUCAUUCUUAAAGCUUGCAUCGUGGUGGGGGAAGCACUUAGUAGAAAAUACAGCAAUCUGCCAGCACUGUGCUAGACUCUGGAAUAUUACAGUGAGUCAGAUAGAUUUCCUGGCCACACAGAUCUUCUAUCUCACUAUUUAGUAAGCCAGAUGACUUUGUUAAGGUCAAACAAUCAUGGAAAAAAAUGCAAGAUGGAAGAGUCCUGGCUAUAAUAGUAAGAACGAAAAACAAAAUCAAGGGCAUUAUAAUAUACCAUAAACUCAAAGGUGGAAAUCUAGUGUGAUGUUGCAACUUGGAAAGUCUGUGUAUUAUCAGUCUGUGUUGAUGGAAAUAGGUAUGCUAUGUGGUUCAAAUGAGUUAAUAGUCCUGUUGUAGUGCAGCUAGAGUAUUGUGUUUCCUUCUGGACACAACAUUUACCACAUUUUAAAGGAACAAAUUAGAGUUUGCCCAGAGAGGGCUGGUCAGGAUAACAAACCGUCUGGAAACCAUCAUACAGGAGACUGAAGGACCUGUUUAGUCUAGGAAAUAAAGACUUAUAUGGGAGACGUAUAGCUAUUUUCAAAGAUAUGUUAUAUUGACAAGAGCAUAAGUCAACUCCUGCAUUGUCCAAAGAGUACUCCUGGGACAGCAGUGAAUGAAUGGGUAGAGAGGUUGGAGAGGAUCUUUAGUUCAAGGUGAUCUGAAGCUCACUUGAUACAAGCUGUCCAACAGUGGACCAGGAAUGGUCCUUUUGCUCAGCACUUCAUAUUUUUUCAUCCCUUUUGCCUCCCUUCCUAGGGGCAAGAACUUUGAAGAGUUCUAUUUCUUCUCUAAUGACCUCAUACCUCUGCCCCUUCCAUGCCACUGCACUACAAGAAAACUGUUGAGUCACCUCCUAUGUAAGUGACAGGUAAUAUUGACAACUAGCACUAGGAUGAACACUUUACAGAACUGACACUUAAACUGUUAAUCAAAGGAUCUCCGAUAUGACAGGUGAAGAAACAAAACUUAGACAACCAAGCAGAGGCCUCUGGACUGGUCUACUGGAGUUCUGCUUCUAUACUCUAUUGUCCUGACCUUCCUGACUCAUUUGUUCCAUCGUCACUAAAAUACAUACACAUCCAUCAAGAAAAAAAAUAAGCAGCAUUUGGAUUGGUAGUCUGAAGGAGUAGGGUAUUUUUCUAGUAAAUGAGGGAGGAAGAAGUCAGCAUGAGGGUUAUUGGGUAUGUUGAGCAGAGGGGUUAAGUGUGUCCCUAGAACGUGGCACCACUUGUCAUGGUGCACAGUGAACUAUGCAGUGUCUUUAUGAAAAGAAAGCAAUUCCCAGAUUCAUCCCACAGUUCCUAUUAUGGUAAGUCAUUUUGUUGUUGUUUUUAACUUUCUUAUUUCUCUGGGUUCUGGUUAUUCCGUUUUAAACACAUCUUUAUUGCUUCAAGUAGGACUAAGCCUUACACAAUGAUAAAAGUAACUGAAAAACUUAUUCCACUUGAAAAAAAAAGGAAAAACACUUUUGUGACUCACCCAAUAUAAACCACAACCCAAUAAAGCCACGAUUAAAGUGGAUGUCUACUAAAUCUCUCAAUGAAUGGGGUUUCACUUUCUGUUUUCACGAGUCAUCCAAGUCCUUUGAUGUAUGUUGGGCCCUCUUGCUCAAGGCUGUCUGUUCUUUCAUCACUCUUUCCUUCCAUGAAUCUCAUGCCUGCGAUUGCUCAGCACAAUCCUGGCUAACAAGACAUGGAGGGAAGGCUUCCUGGAACACGUGGAGCAAAGUCAGGAAGAUGACCCAAGUGAAGGUAAGCCCAGAAGAAGAUUAGCGGCAAGCUCAUGGCUUUUCCAGCUGGCCUGCUUGUCUGUGCUGACUCCAAGACUGCUGGUGUAAGUGACUGGGAGGGACUUUUACCCACAUUUUUGUCCUCUGGCUCUUGCUCUGGGUAGAACCACUUUGUAAAAUUUAAAACAACAGCAGCAACGGCAGUGAAACUCCAGUCUCUGAAACAACACAUUUUCCCAGAAAUGUAUAUUUACCUGAGGCUUACAGUCCAUGGCACCAUUUACCUGCAUGUAAACCACAGAGAUUCUGGAUGAUUUUAAUGCACGACUUCUGGCACACAUAGGCGUGUUUAUGUUGAUUCUAAUGUUAUGAGAAACUAUUAAUGCCGAGUACUCACUGACCAUCUGGUCUGAUAAACUUUGGGUGGUUUGAAUUCUUUGCAGUAUUUUUUUUUUUCAGCAAAUCUCCUCUUAGGGUAGUCAUAAGGCUCAUUUUUAUUGUGUCCAUGAUCUCUUACCCAAAAUAGUGAUAUUUUUAUGUACUGGAUCAAAGAAAGAUUGUGAUUAUAGCAGGGACUAUUAUGAAACCAGAAAGGAGCCAACUAAAGAGAAAAGGGUUAUUUUUAAAUGUCAUUCUUCAAAUAUGACUGACUGUAAAUAAACUGUAUAUUGCCCUUUGAGGGAAGAGCCUGAAGUGGAAACACCACAUAUGGCCAUCAGGAGGCCUGGUGUGGGGCUUCUGAAAGUUCCAAGUGACUCUAGAUAUGGCCUGGCUAUGGAAUUCUUCUGCUUACAGCUUCAGAGGACAGGCUUUUUCAGAGCACUGGAAACUACUUGUUUCACAGAUGGAAAUGUGGCUUUUUUCAUUUUUACCACUAUUACUGAUGUCUGUAGAAAAAGUUACAUAAACUUUCCCGGGCUCAGGGCAAACAAUCCCUCUGGGAAGCUGUAGGAUGGAUGGUUCAACAGUGAUCUGGAAAGGGUGACAUCUCAUCACCCAUUAUCUCCAAGAUAAACUGAAGAGAGGGACUUGUUCAGAAUCGUGUGAAGAUAGAGAGCCCGCACCAUGUUUCCACGGUGACAUUCUGUUUGUGGCCAAGUCUUUUGUUCCCUUCAAGUACACCGUGUUUGGUGCUAUGCAGCAGGUUGUUUCUUCCGACCCACGCUGUUCCCUACAGCCUGCUUCUACCUCCAGUUUCUCUUUGUCAUGAGUUCCUACUUUGGGGAAAGUUGGUUGUCACUCUUACCACUACAUUCUUCCUGGUAUAGUAUUGGUCAGACAGGCCCCUUUCUGAUUGCUAUCUUUCCAGGAAGGACAACAGAGCUGACCUUGGAGGACAUGGGCCAGGAGAUCUAAGAUGAGAUUCCCAGGACUGCUACCUAGGUCCAACUUAGACUCUGAGAACCAAGGAAAAUGAACCUCACCCAAGUUCCUAGGUGGCAACUGAGGACCAGCCCACUGGGAGGCCAGCUGGGGUCCCAAGCCUGGUUAUUCAAAGUAUGGGCUCUAGAACAACAGCCCUGGCAUCAUCUGGAGUGUUUAGGAUGUAGAAGCUCAACUCCCAGUCCCCACUUAACACAUUAGACCUCUGGGUGCUUUUGGCGAGCAUAAAAUCUUGAGAAGUACAUCUCAGAGAACCCGAGGCAAGGUCAAGGAUCAGUCAGGGUUGGUUGAGGGACUGAACCUCAGUAGGGUUGGGAGUGAGAGCAGGUCAGAAGGGAGAGAAAUACUUGAAGCUGUCUCCACGAGCUGUGGGUAUAUGGUUAUGUGGUAUGCAGGUAUAUCUAGACUCUAAAAGGGGUUUGAAUUCUCCAGUCAGCCUUCUCUGAGACUGUAAAAGACAGGGGCCCAUCUUCCUCCUUCAUCUGUUCCAGACCUACCCAGACAUCUCAGAGCUCCAAGAUAUGUACUCAUUCUUUGUUGAACUGAAUGGGGUCCCCCAGAAAUCCCACUAGUCAUAUAUCCUGAGUUUAUGAUCAUAGAGAGUCACCUUUGAUUCUGCAUCUCCCCCAGGAAUCUCUUGGUGUAAUAAGUAUGCUUGGGUGUUUUCUGUAGCACAAAUCAAAGCAAAACAAAAUACCCUGCUGGGUCACAGCAGAUCCAGCACCACAUCCCCCGAGAGUUCAGGCGGUGUCCAAAGAACUCAUCAUGAGAGCUGACCUGCUAAUGUGUGAUUUCUGCAAAAGGGCCAACGAACCUGCUGGCUCCCAUGACGGCUGUCUGGAAAGUCAGUGCCCAGGCGCCAAAUCCAGAGGUGCGCUUUGUACUUGGAGAGACAGAAUGGCCAGCCACCUCGAGGCUUCAGGAGCUGGAUCAGUGCACAGCAGCCUCCAACUGGCAAGAGUUAAUGCUAAGGUGCAGCUGCAGGAAUGUGAAGCUGGAGAGCUAGCUCGGGGAAUUGCUAUUGCAAUCAGAGGACAGCCCAAGUCAGAGUUCCAAAACCCUUUGAAGGGCUGCCAGCUCGGACACAUGUCUCCAAUUAUCAUAUGCAAUCUUGAGGCAGUGUGCAAGCUGCACUUUCAUUAUGUCAAAGUGAAAGGAGUGGUGAGGGAGAGAUAAAGUGGGGAGAGGCCGCCAGGCCGGAGACUGCUUCGCUGUGGCACCAAAUGUCAGCCCGGGUGCAGAGUGAGCCUCCAACGUAUGUCUGUCCGGGAGCCCGAGGUGUGUGGCUCCUACUCUGAGAGCCUUUGUUUUCUUUCUUUCAUUCUGAGGAUGGAGGAGAACCAGCUGACAGCCACAGGAGGCCCUGUCUCUAGGAAACUUGACCAUCUCUUUGGUAUUGGAUCUGACCACAGAUAAGAUUCUGUGGAAACUUCCCAGGGACAUCCACUGUGUCCAGCCACAGGCUUUCAGGUUAUUUCUUAAAAUUUUUCAAGGUCUGUAUUUCCAUGGGGAGCCGGUUCCUUUGCCUGGUGUAACUAAGAAGGAGGCAUAAGAAUAGAUAGCUCCUUCUUGCCUAUCCAGGGUUGGCUGUUUCUAGGCUGGGUUUUGCUUUUUUUUUUUUCAUUCUGAACCAAGUCCUAGCCCAGGAGACCAUUGCCCUCAACUUCAUUUUCCAAACACAGACCAAUAGAUUUUCCUCAGAGACAUCUCCCAGGCUUAUCUCUUCCACACCAUUGCCUCUUAGGACUGAGCUCAUCAUUUGGAAUGGAUAUUUGACUGAUCCAUGUGUUACUCUGUGUUUUUAAGUAAGUUUGCAGAGGUAUGGGAGGGUAGAACAUAUACUUUCUGGCUUCUUCUUAGCUCUCAAGAGUUAUUUAUACAUGCAUGCAGACUCACAUAUUUACACAUACAGUUUUAUGUAUGAAUAUGUCUUUACAUAUUGUAUUUACAUAUGUACAUGUAUUAUCUGUGUUAUAUGCAAAAUUGCUGCUGUACUAAGGACUUUAUAAGAUAGCAACAGAAUUUCCAUUACCACCCUUGUUUUGCAUUAAGAGAAGUGACAUUUAGAGCGAUAAGGAGCUUGCCAGCACCAUUCAACCAAGCUAGUGGUGAGGCCAGGCUUGGGCUGUGACACUCUGGUCACAAUCCUCAUAACAUCUCCGUCUGAAAUCCAUUCAGUUGUCUCCCAUGCUGUGUACCCAGGAAAUGUCACUUGGAGUAGUAUUCCAUUUAUUGAUGACAUAGGGGGUGUGCAGGGAGAGGAGACAUGCUAGGACUGGUGGCUGUGAAGAAAAAGGCAAGAACUAAGUUAUGCCUUACCUGCCCUGAGAUCCUGCUUAAGCAGACACUUGCCUGCUGUCUGGAAGAUUGGGCCGUGAUGUGGAAGAGACAUAGCUGGAAUGCACCCCUCACCAGGAAGCAGGCCUGGGUUAGAGGAAUCUCCUCAGUUCAUUGCUGUGGUUAAUUCUGGCCAACUUUGGCCCCUGGGCCCCCUGAGCCUCCUCCGCAAACCCAGAAGAACUCUGGAGAGGUCAGAGCAUUUUUAUUCACCAAUCCAAGUGAAAUGCAGCAAAACACACUCCACAUGCUUGACACGUGGAAAUUCUCAGAGCCAGCGGUUGAUAAAUGUGCCAAACUUGAGGAGUAAACAUCCCAGAGAAGGCAGAGCUGCAUGCAAGCCUUCCUGGCUUCAUCAGGUGGUUAUAUUAGCUUCAGAGCCUGGAGGCUAGCUCAUAACUAAUCCGUACAAGGUGUUGAGCCCUGUGCCUGGUAGACAGUGAGUAAGGUCUCAGUAGGUGCUAAUAGGCACAUUAGUACACUCGCUAUUACUAGUCGGAAGGAACCGAUCGGAUAGUUAUAACAACACUAGUAGCCAAUGAGCUUACUCGCCUCAUGGAAAACCAUCCCACCACAUUCUAAGGGCCUUCUAGUGUGCAAUUGACUCUAGUUUUCAAAACUAGAAUUUUGUUACAUAUUUCUUAAAUGCUAGGUACAUACAUACACAUAUAUACAUGUACACAUAUAUGUACACACACACACAUAUAAUCUUAGUUAUUGCUAGACUUUCUGAGAACUUAACUCCUAGAUGGUUGUUAAGAACUGUGUGGAAAGGCUGACAAGACGGCUCAGCUUGCAAGCUUGGCAACCUGAGUUUGAUUCCUGUGAGAACCCCUCCAUGAGGUUGUCUUCUGCCCUCCAUACAUGUUACAUGGCAUGUAUGCUAAAAUACACGCCCCCCCCCACACACUCAGUACAUUUGACAAAAGAACCUUGCUUAAGAUAACCCAGUCCAAGCUCUCCAUGUGAUGUCCAAGUCUGUUUCUUCAUCACUACUCUGGAACUUCUGGAACCUACAUGAUCCCCAUGAACCCAGGUUCAGGCAGGAUCUGCCCAGGGCACUGCCAUUCUGCUCCUCCCCUUCUGGGCACAGCUGUACACAUCUGUAUUCCAUGAUGCCCACUGAGAAGAGGGCUUCUCUAUCCCGUCUGUAAUGCACCAGUAAACAAACAUCCAGUGAGCCCUAGCAUGGCUGUUCCUUUCUUAAGUCAGCACAGGGUUGCUCAUAGCUGUGGCUUCUGACCCUUGCCCAGGACUUAACCGGUUUCAUGGCUUUACUUCAUGCUCACAAUCCUGCGAUUAUUUUCACAGCCGCCCAGUGUAAAAGGAGCUGUGCUUUGCCAGCAUUUGCAGAGAGGACUGAGAGAGCCAGCCUCAGGACUCAGCUCUGCUGUCAGCAUCCCCGAACUUGUCCCAUUACAGAGGGCUGCUUCCUCUCCACCAUGGGCAGCUGAUGACUUUGGCUCUGUGUGGCCCAGUGCCUGCAACUGUUCUGUUCCUGCCUUUAGUAGGAAGACCAUGAGGUCAACACUGAGGACAGGUCUCUGUGUUCCAGAUAACCUGGGCUUCCCCUUGGUUCUUCUUUUCUUGUUUAUUUUUUUCUCACCAGCAUAUAGGCCAGGCAUCCCAGAUGUGGCAGGACCUGCCCUCUAUCCUCAACUCCAGGUCUGAGGCAGGUGUCCCCCACAGGGCUUAAAAUUUUGGGCACACGCCUGUGGUCCACAGGAACUGGCCUAGCCAUUUGGUGGUGCUGAAGACCCGUGACUAUCUCUGCCUUCUGUUAGGAGUGGGAGAAGCUCAUGGUCUGACUAGCGGUGGGGAAGUCCAAGGGACAAACGGGGGCUCUAACCAUAAUCAGAACACCAGUGCUGUCGGUCUGCUCCUGGAACCAGGAGAGGUGGCAAAAAAAAAAAGGAUCUUGGAGAGAGAGGGUGGACUGGGCGAGCAGAGGAGACAGUGGGUUAGUGCUAGUUUUCUGUGACAGGUUGGAGGAUGUCUUCAGAUGAAAGAAGGUGCCAAAGAGAAGAGGGAAACCAAGGUAGAAAAAUCUUAGGAAGAAACGGAUGAAAAAGCAUGGAAUGGGCUUCUCUAUGAACACAAUGGAAUAUUUGGAGCUGCCUUUUCCUUAUGCUCAAGGGGUUGGGACCCUGGCCGUGCAGUGACCUCUCGGGGAAGCCAAGAUAGACUGCUAGCUGGAACUUCCCCCCACACAGGGGAAGAGUUCAAGCUGUGGAAAGGCCCUGGCCUGAGGUGGGUUUGGACUGCUUACACUCUGACCAGCCAAACUGAUAGCUCCUUGUGCUGUGUGAAAACACUGGCUUCCACAUUGUGACUGCAGUGUUCACCGAGAGCACAGUUUGCCUUUGGGGGAGCAAUGGUGCUGUGGUGGCAGGGAGGCUGUUUCUACCAGUAACUGUAGAACUUCUUUCCUGGAAAUUGGGUGCCCUCAAUGGGUCUCCAUUAGAGAUUCAGGUGACACGUUAGCCCUGUUAGCAGGCCAGGGAGCCAACGGCGUUUUUCAGAUAUCCCAAAGAGUCUGACAGUACUGGGGCAUGGCUCUCUACAAGUGGCUUUACUGGUGUAGCCACUCAGAGGCACAGCUGCUCUGCCUAAAAGCUUCCAGAAUGUCUCCCUCGCCAGCACUGUCUUCACAUCCAGGACUUAGCAGCUCUGUGUGCCCCUAGGAGAAAGACCUUUAGAACCUAUCUCUUCACAAGAGGGGCCUGGGACUUCUGAGGCCAUGGAAUAGGAACCCUGCAAAACCCACAGACACCGGCUAGUGGGAGGACUCCCUUUAUCUGACAAAGCAUCUCAGCACGGAAUGUUCUGGGACAAAAUUGAGGCUUGAGGGAAGCAACCACAACAACAAAAAAAACAAGAUGAAGGGGAUGGUGACUACAUCCUGCUCUGUGGAGGAUUCUGCAGUCUCUCUGUUACCUUUGCUGCUCUUAAGACAGUGGUCAUGAGUACAUUCUGUCUGUUUCCUUUCCUAUUUAGAGGAAAGGAAAGCAGCUGUGCCCACCUGACUUGGCCCCUCUCCCCUCCAUCUUCCUGGGCUUAUUUGUGUUAGUCUUACUAUGUUUGUCUUUAUCUGUUCUAUAGCAACCCUCGUCUCUACAGGUCUUAAUGGUCCCAGCUAGUUCUGGUCACUUGUGGAAAACGUCUCAGGAAGAAUAAAAAGUUUUCAAAAGUUCACUUCUGACUGGUUACUGACUUUCUAGUUGGAAGCAGAUGCUGGGGUACUAGGCCACUGACAGUUGCUGCUAGAGCUGUUUGUGGGUGGCAAGAAGUUUGGAAGCCUUACUGUUUUCUUGGGGUAGGGAUGCCUUUCUACAGGAAGCCACAGGGGAAUAAUGGAGAGGCAGCCAUCAUUGUUAAGGUAAUCUUAACAUGAAAUCAGAUAUGCCAUGACAGGC
ensembl:lncRNA